rnacentral:rRNA from 1 species
UACGAGAGGCGCAAACGUUAUUCGGAAUUACUGGGCUUAAAGAGUUCGUAGGCGGCGCGGAAAGUGGGGUGUGAAAGCCCUCGGCUCAACCGAGGAAUUGCGCUCCAAACUACCGUGCUUGAGGAAGCUAGAGGUGAGCGGAACUGAUGGUGGAGCGGUGAAAUGCGUUGAUAUCAUCAGGAACACCGGAGGCGAAGGCGGCUCACUGGGGCUUUUCUGACGCUGAGGAACGAAAGCCAGGGGAGCGAACGGG